rnacentral:rRNA from 1 species
UACGGGGGGGGCAAGCGUUGUUCGGAAUUAUUGGGCGUAAAGAGCGUGUAGGCGGCCAGAUAAGUCCGCUGUGAAAUCUCGAGGCUCAACUUCGAGCUGUCGGUGGAAACUAUCUGGCUAGAGUCCGGAAGAGGAGAAUGGAAUUCCUGGUGUAGCGGUGAAAUGCGCAGAUAUCAGGAAGAACACCCGUGGCGAAGGCGGUUCUCUGGGACGGUACUGACGCUGAGACGCGAAAGCGUGGGGAGCGAACAGG